AGAGAAGAUCGGACGGUCGCCGGCCGUGGCAACACGGCGGGAGGAAAGUCCGGGCUCCGCAGGGCAGGGUGCUGGCUAACGGCCAGGGGGGGCGACCCCACGGAAAGUGCCACAGAAACAUACCGCCGCCGCAAGGCGGUAAGGGUGAAACGGUGAGGUAAGAGCUCACCAGCGGCGCGGGUGACCGCACCGGCUAGGCAAACCCCACCCGGAGCAAGGCCAAAUAGGAGAGCGAUCGGACGGCCCGUCCGUGGCUCUCGGGUAAGGCCGCUCGAGACGCCGGGCAACC
rnacentral:RNase_P_RNA from 1 species